GACAGAGGGUGCAAACGUUGCUCGGAAUUACUGGGCGUAAAGCGCGUGUAGGCGGACUUGCAAGUCAGAUGUGAAAUCCCCGAGCUCAACUCGGGAACUGCAUUUGAAACUGCCUGUCUUGAGUAGUGGAGAGGAAAGCAGAAUUCCCGGUGUAGCGGUGGAAUGCGUAGAUAUCGGGAAGAAUACCGGUGGCGAAGGCGUUCCGCUGGGCCGUUGCUGACGCUGAGGCGCGACAGCGUGGGGAGCAAACAGG
rnacentral:rRNA from 1 species